rnacentral:ncRNA from 1 species
GACUGGACUGAUCCCUUGCCAAAACUUUUAGUUCCUAAGACAAUCGCUCUUUGAUGAUCCUGAAGAGCUCCUGCCACAAUUUCUGAUGCCGAUGCUGACCCAGCAUUUAUGAGGAUUAUGAGGGGCUUGCCAUUUGCAAUAUCACCUUUAGACGCUUUGUAACGCUCUCCUUUACCUUCCCUAUCUCUUGUGGAUACGAUCUCUCCCUGAUCCAAAAAUAGGUCUGUAACUGAAAUAGCUACCGAUAGUAAUCCUCCAGGAUUAUUUCGCA